GGGCUUAUCCUAACGAAUGACACGACAAAGCAAGACACUUCACCUUCUUCUUCGCACCACUUGGUUCGCAUCCAGUUUUCAAGGCGUAAGCCUUGUUACAAAUGAUCUGGUCUGGUGAUGACGGCGGAGGGGUUCCACGCGUACCCAUCCCGAACACGACCGUUAAGCCCUCCAGCGCCGAUGGUACUUGGACCGCAGGGUCCUGGGAGAGUAGGACGUCGCCAGGC
rnacentral:rRNA from 1 species